UUAUAUGCUUUCAAUUUUUUCAAUUUGGUUCUAGAUUUGGAUUCAAAAAUUAGGGCUAAGGAAAUCAGGUUUUAAUAUGUCACUAUUCUUUUUUUAAUUUUUUCGGCAGUAGAUUUUUUUCAGUUCCAUUGUGUUCUGUGGCUUAUAUUAAAUUAGACACAACGUUAUCCAAAAAAAAACUAUGAAAACUUCAAAAGAUCAAGUGUUGCACUCACUAUGAAAAUGAAACACUCUACUAUCCGCUUAAAUUACGUUAUCAUCCACUAUUUCCAUUCAUUCAACAAAAACAGGCAAAAGAAAAGGAAACUCUUCCCCUGUUCGUUCUCUAUUCGUUUCCUUUCUGCAACUCCAUACACACAAGUAGCAGGUUUAAUUAUGCACUUGAAGUGUUUGAUCAAAUGCCUAGAAGAUGCAAGAUCUAUCAUCUCUACUCUGGCUUAUAAGACAGUUGGUAGCUAUUCAAGAAGAGCUACUUGAUUAAAUAUAAAGAAAUAUCUUCUAAGAGUGGGCCACAACUUUACUUGCAAUGUUAAGGCUGAUUAGUGUCUGAGUGUCUUAGCUAUGUCCGAGUCGAUUGAGAUGGCUCUACUAGAAUCAUACACUAGCAUAAGUGGUUUACAAGAGAUUUGAGAGGCAGUUGAACUCUCUACAAUGAACUAUAUGAAAACAUUGACAUCAGGCCUCCUACGGUGUUUCUUUCCUUCCUUUUAUCUCUAAUUUACAAUAUAAAGGCAUUUUCAUAUAAAUUUAUGUCACGGCCUUCAUCAUUUAGUACAUAUUCAAACUCCUCUGAGUAAAUAUUUAACGUUGAAUUGAUUAUAAUUAGUUUUUUUUUUUCAUAUAAAUUUUGUAGAUUUAUUUUUAGUUUCAACUAAACUAAUGACUUUUCUAUGCAAAUUUGCAAUCUUCCUAUCUCCUCUCACAUUGUUUUGCCAAUAGCAAUCCACUGUUAGUUUUUUUGCUCUCUCUGAUUUUAUUUAUUUUUAUUUCUUUCAGUAAAUUUGUAAUUAUUUUUGGCUAAUCCGAAGUUUGUUUGGCUAUGCAUUUGAUCUGAGCUUGAUGUGGUUUUUCAUGUGAUUAGGUUUCAAUCAAGUGAGAAACCAGUUAGUGAGAUGUAAUGAAUUGUCUAACCAUGCAAAGUCUCUUUUAACAACUUGGUGUAGGGUUGCAUCUAAAGGAAAAAUCAAAAAUGGUUGCUCUUGAUGUUGUUAAUAAGGAAGCUGUUGAUCUGGCAUGUUCUUUUAAAAAUUAUACUCUGUUAUCAUCUUACGACAUGCCAACUUUACCUUAAAGAAUGUUCCAGUUAAUGAAUAUUCUCUGUGAAAAUUCAUAGCUACAAAUAUUAGAAUAAUAAAUGUUAUUUGCUUUCAUAGUUUACUUA